rnacentral:rRNA from 1 species
UACGGGGGGGGCAAGCGUUGUUCGGGAUUACUGGGCGUAAAGGGCUCGUAGGCGGCCUUCUUAGUCGGACGUGAAAUCCCCAGGCUCAACUUGGGAACUGCGUCCGAUACUGGAUGGCUUGAGUGCGGGAGAGGGAUGUGGAAUUCCAGGUGUAGCGGUGAAAUGCGUAGAUAUCUGGAGGAACACCGGUGGCGAAGGCGGCAUCCUGGACCGGCAUUGACGCUGAGGCGCGAAAGCUAGGGGAGCAAACGGG